rnacentral:misc_RNA from 1 species
GAUGAAGAACGUAGCGAAAUGCGAUACGUAAUGUGAAUUGCAGAAUUCAGUGAAUCAUCGAAUCUUUGAACGCAUAUAGCGCUCUCUGGUAUUCCGGAGAGCAUGCUUGUUUGAGUAUCAGUAAACACCUCAACUUCCAUAUCUUUUUUGAAAUGGGAGUUGGACUUGAGUGAUCCCAACGCUUUUCCUCACCGAAAAGUGGCGGGUUACUUGAAAUGCAGGUGCAGCUGGACUUUUCUCUGAGCUAUAAGCAUAUCUAUUUAGUCUGCCUAAAAAACAGAUUAUUACCUUUGCUGCAGCUAACAUAAAGGAGAUUAGUUCUUGUGCUGACUGAUGCAGGAUUCACAAAGACAGGCUUCGGCCGACUUUGUAAACUCGAUCUCAAAUCAAGUAAGACUACCCGCUGAACUUAAGCAUAUCAAAAGCGGAGGA